ACGAACGCUGGCGGCGCGCCUAACACAUGCCAGUCGAACGAGCGAGAGAGAGCUUGCUUUCUCGAGCGAGUGGCGAACGGGUGAGUAACGCGUGAGGAACCUGCCUCAAAGAGGGGGACAACAGUUGGAAACGACUGCUAAUACCGCAUAAGCCCACGACCCGGCAUCGGGUAGAGGGAAAAGGAGCAAUCCGCUUUGAGAUGGCCUCGCGUCCGAUUAGCUAGUUGGUGAGGUAACGGCCCACCAAGGCGACGAUCGGUAGCCGGACUGAGAGGUUGAACGGCCACAUUGGGACUGAGACACGGCCCAGACUCCUACGGGAGGCAGCAGUGGGGAAUAUUGCACAAUGGGGGAAACCCUGAUGCAGCGACGCCGCGUGGAGGAAGAAGGUCUUCGGAUUGUAAACUCCUGUUGUGGAGGAAGAUAAUGACGGUACUCAACAAGGAAGUGACGGCUAACUACGUG
rnacentral:rRNA from 1 species